CGGCCGCGGCGCGGGAGGCGGGGCGGCGCGAGGAGGGCGGAGGCGCGGGCUGGGGAGGGAGGAGCUGCCCGCGCGCCCGCUGCUGCUCGGCUCCACACCCGCCGGCGCGGCCCCGCCACGAGACUCCGAUGACAGGGGCUCAGCCGGCGCUGCUUGCGAGCGCCGGACCGACCGACCGCGGCGGCGGAGGAAGACGCGAGGAUCGCGGCCCGGGGCCAAGUGCGGGAGGUGCUUGGGGCCGGCGGCGCGCAUAGAUCCCCUCUGA
rnacentral:lncRNA from 1 species